rnacentral:rRNA from 1 species
GUAGUUAACACCUGCAUUAUUUGACGUUACCUACAGAAGAAGCACCGGCUAACUCCGUGCCAGCAGCCGCGGUAAUACGGAGGGUGCGAGCGUUAAUCGGAAUUACUGGGCGUAAAGCGCAUGCAGGUGGUUUGUUAAGUCAGAUGUGAAAGCCCGGGGCUCAACCUCGGAAUAGCAUUUGAAACUGGCAGACUAGAGUACUGUAGAGGGGGUAGAAUUUCAGGUGUAGCGGUGAAAAUGCGUAGAGAUCUGAAGGAAUACCAGUGGCGAAGGCGGCCCCCUGGACAAAGACUGACGCUCAGAUGCGAAAGCGUGGGGAGCAAACAGGAUUAGAUACCCCUGGUAG